CCUACGGGAGGCAGCAGUGAGGAAUAUUGGUCAAUGGCCGGAAGGCUGAACCAGCCAUGCCGCGUGAAGGUCAGUGCCCUAUGGGCGUUAAACUUCUUUUGUGCGGGAGCAAUAAUGGUCACGUGUGGCCAGACGAGAGUACCGUACGAAUAAGCAUCGGCUAACUCCGUGCCAGCAGCCGCGGUAAUACAGGGGAUGCAAGCGUUAUCCGGAUUUAUUGGGUUUAAAGGGUGCGUAGGCUGUGAGGUAAGUCAGCGGUGAAAUGCCGCCGCUCAACGGGGUGAAGUGCCAUUGAUACUGCCUGGCUGGAAUGCGGAUGCCGUGGGAGGAAUGUGUGGUGUAGCGGUGAAAUGCAUAGAUAUCACACAGAACACCGAUUGCGAAGGCAUCUCACGAAUCCGCGAUUGACGCUGAUGCACGAAAGCGUGGGUAUCAAACAGGAUUAGAUACCCCAGUAGUC
rnacentral:rRNA from 1 species